CCAUCUUUACAAUGUAUCACACACGUCAAGUGACACAAUGAAUUUAUUACAAUUUUUCAUUUAAUCACAGAUACACAGUAGAAAACAUACUUGGGGAAAGGACUGUGUCAAAGUUAGAUGUUCAUUAGUAUGUACAAUGUGCUCAUACUCCACCAGAGCCAGAUUUACAGCAAUGCUAGGUCAAAUAUAUACAAUUGUAAAAAAAUAAAUAUGUACAUUAAAUAUACAAAUAAAUGUGUACAUUAAAUAUACAAAUAAAGGAAAAUGAGAUUAACGUACAAGAACUCUGAACAAAUCAAAACAUAGAAGUACAGGAUCAAAC